rnacentral:rRNA from 1 species
GGGGGGGGGGGGGGGGGGGGGGGGUGCGUGGGGGUGGAGGGAGGGGAGGGGGGGGUGGCUGCUGGGGCGUUGGCGGCGGACGGGUGGGGACCCCGGGGGUGACCUCGCUAUGAGGCUGUGAUGACUUAGGGGAACGGGGGCUAAUACCGGAUCGUAUAUUGAACAGCAUGGUUGCAUAGUGAAAGACGGUUUUGCUUUCACUUCUAGAUGUCUCCGCGCGGCAUUAGCUAGUUGGUAAGGUACCGGCUUACCAAUGCCACUGUGAGUAGCCGACCUGAUAGGGUGAUCGGCCACACUGGAACUGAGACACGGUCCAGACUCCUACGGGAGGCAGCAGUAGGGAAUCUUCCGCAAUGGGCGAAAGCCUGACGGAGCAACGCCGCGUGAGUGAUGAAGGUCUUCGGAUCGUAAAACUCUGUUAUUAGGGAAGAAUAAAUGUGUAAGUAACUAUGCACGUCUUGACGGUACCUAAUCAGAAAGCCACGGCUAACUACGUG